GCCGCCAUAGCUCAGUAGGCCAGAGCGUCCGCCUUGUAAGCGGAGGGUCCAGGGUUCGAAUCCUUGUGGUGGCGCUA
rnacentral:tRNA from 1 species